UUUAUAGUAGACGAAGCCGCCGCUGGGAAUGAAUCGAAUUUUUACAAACUCUUUAAACCCAUGUUCUCUUUUUUUUCUGGAGGGCUAGGCCGGCGCUGUUUACGCAACUCAAGAUGUCAACCAGAUCUUCACCACAUACACUGACCCAGCACCCAACAGUACCAGCCUGGUAACACACCUCAUAGUCCCCCAGUCACAGCAGCCAUCGGAGACAGACACAUCAUCCCCGGGGCUAUGAGCAGACUGAUGGGCAGCAGCCGCAGAUCGAGUACCAGUAUGCCUGCAUCAAUGAUCCGAGUCAGAGCACUGCCAAUG